AGGGUUUGAUCCUGGCUCAGAAUCAACGCUGGCGGCGCGCUUAACACAUGCAAGUCGAACGAGAAAGGGGAGCAAUCCCUGAGUAAAGUGGCGUACGGGUGAGUAACACGUGGGUAAUCUGCCUCUGGGUGGGGAAUAACUCUGGGAAACCGGAGCUAAUACCGCAUAAGCCUGAAAGGGGAAAGGCGAAAGUCGCCGAGAGAGGAGCCCGCGGCUGAUUAGCUAGUUGGUGGGGUAAAGGCUCACCAAGGCAAAGAUCGGUAGCCGGCCUGAGAGGGCACACGGCCACACUGGCACUGAAACACGGGCCAGACUCCUACGGGAGGCAGCAGUGGGGAAUCUUGCACAAUGGGGGAAACCCUGAUGCAGCGACGCCGCGUGAGCGAUGAAGCCCUUCGGGGUGUAAAGCUCUUUCGGCAGGGACGAUAAUGACGGUACCUGAAGAAGAAGCUGCGGCUAACUACGUGCCAGCAGCCGCGGUAAUACGUAGGCAGCGAGCGUUGUUCGGAGUUACUGGGCGUAAAGCGUGCGUAGGCGGUGGCCCAAGUCUGGUGUGAAAUCUCCCGGCUCAACCGGGAGGGUGCGCCGGAAACUGGGUCGCUCGAGUACUGGAGAGGCAAGCGGAAUUCCUGGUGUAGCGGUGAAAUGCGUAGAUAUCAGGAGGAACACCCGUGGUGUAGACGGCUUGCUGGACAGUCACUGACGCUGAGGCACGAAAGCGUGGGGAGCAAACAGGAUUAGAUACCCUGGUAGUCCACGCCCUAAACGAUGCAUACUUGGUGUGGGCAGUUCAGUCUGUCCGUGCCGAAGCUAACGCGAUAAGUAUGCCGCCUGGGGAGUACGGUCG
rnacentral:rRNA from 1 species